AUUGAACGCUGGCGGCAGGCUUAACACAUGCAAAUCGAGCGGUAGCAGGGAGAAAGCUUGCUUUCUCCGCUGACGAGCGGCGGACGGGUGAGUAAUGUCUGGGGAUCUGCCUGAUGGAGGGGGAUAACUACUGGAAACGGUAGUUAAUACCGCAUAACGUCGCAAGACCAAAAUGGGGGACCUUCGGGCCUCAUGCCAUCAGAUGAACCCAGAUGGGAUUAGCUAGUAGGUGAGGUAAUGGCUCACCUAGGCGACGAUCCCUAGCUGGUCUGAGAGGAUGACCAGCCACACUAGAACUGAGACACGGUCCAGACUCCUACGGGAGGCAGCAGUGGGGAAUAUUGCACAAUGGGCGCAAGCCUGAGGCAGCCAUGCCGCGUGUAUGAAGAAGGCCUUCGGGUUGUAAAGUACCUUCAGUAGGGAGGAAGGUGUACGUGUUAAUAGCACGUACAAUUGACGUUACCUACAGAAGAAGCACCGGCUAACUCCGUGCCAGCAGCCGCCGUAA
rnacentral:rRNA from 1 species